CUCCAACCCUGUCUGGCUUCUACUUCACUACAGCAAGUCUUUUUUUUUCCUCUAGCAAGUAGCAGCAAAUCACUUCACCACCAAGUCUAGUAGUACCUUCACCUCCAUGGCCCGCCGUGUUUCCCGUCGCGUUCAGCCAGCUGCCAGCCGGAGUGAAUCGUAGCAGCGUGGACGCCGUGUCGUGCGAGGCAGGACUCCCAUUCCAUCCUGGGGGCGAAAAGGGCAGGAAGGCGGCAAGGCGCACACACGGUAGGAUCAGAGCGGACGUGUGGUUUGCGACGUAGACCCCAUCGAUCGGAAUCGGAUAGCCCGACGAAGCUGCUGGCGCAUCGGUGGCGAAUCUAGACGAAAAAUUUUAUCGUUGUCAACUUCAUCAUAGGUCAUUUGACAGAGAUUCCAGCAUGCGGAAGAUGGGGAUCAUUUCACCGCUGCAAGCUCUGUGAAACAAGCACUUGAACGUCUUAAAAAUGCAGGGUCACUCAUGGCGAGAUAUGCAUGGUACCAAACAUUUGGGCUUGAGAUCUCAAAGGGUUUAUGCACUAGCGCCACCUCUCAAGGUCAGCCUGUUUCUGGGCGCUUCGGUAUUUUGGUGUUUUAAAUGUGACAUUGUUGUCGUGUGUCACUGAGGUUCUUGCUGCCCUCUCAAACAUAUAAUACCUGCUAAGUGAAUCUCCAAUGGAAAUAAUAGUAGUAACACUCGUGUUGCGGAUAUUUGAAUAAACACAUGUAUCAUGUUUUAUAUCAUUCAUGUUUCCGUUCAUUGCGUCCAUAAUCGGAGGCAACUGUCUUGCUGAUCGAGGAGCGCAGAAUCUGCAAAGUGGCCCUUUGGUGUUCUGGACGUACUGUGUAAACAUGUUAUGUUGUGUAUAUAGAAAACGUAACAUGUGCUGCAUAGGAUGUCUAACUGCUGGAGUGCAGAUUCAGCUGAGUGGUUGAACUAAUCUACUCGAACUGAUAAGUGAUGUCUGCACUUGUCGCUACUGCUUGAACCAUGAAGCUGAUGUCUUGUUGCCAUAUGUUGAAUUGUACCUGUCU